CCUCCAGCUGUUUUGGGACUACAGUUCCCAUCAUCCCUGGUCAAUGGUCCUGUUAGCUAGGGAUGAUGGGAGUUGUAGUCCCAAAACAGCUGGAGG